rnacentral:rRNA from 1 species
UACACGACCGUACCGCAAACCGACACUGGUGCGCGAGAUGAGUAUUCUAAGGCGCUUGAGAGAACUCAGGAGAAGGAACUCGGCAAAUUGACACCGUAACUUCGGAAGAAGGUGUGCCUUUAGUAGGUGAACCAUUUACUUGGGGAGCCCAAUGAGGCUGCAAAAAAUCGGUGGCUGCAACUGUUUAUUAAAAACACAGCACUCUGCUAAGACGAAAGUCGACGUAUAGGGUGUGACGCCUGCCCGGUGCUGGAAGAUUAAAUGAUGGGGUGCAAGCUCUUGAUUGAAGUCCCAGUAAACGGCGGCCGUAACAAUAACGGUCCUAAGGUAGCGAAAUUCCUUGUCGGGUAAGUUCCGACCUGCACGAAUGGCGUAAUGAUGGCCACACUGUCUCCUCCUGAGACUCAGCGAAGUUGAAAUGUUUGUGAUGAUGCAAUCUCCCCGCGGAAAGACGGAAAGACCCCAUGAACCUUUACUGUAGCUUUGUAUUGGACUUUGAACAGAUCUGUGUAGGAUAGGUGGGAGGCUUUGAAGUGUGGUCGCUAGAUCGCAUGGAGCCAACGUUGAAAUACCACCCUGGUGUGUUUGAGGUUCUAACCUAGGUCCAUUAUCUGGAUCGGGGACAGUGCAUGGUAGGCAGUUUGACUGGGGCGGUCUCCUCCCAAAGUGUAACGGAGGAGUUCGAAGGUACGCUAGGUACGGUCGGACAUCGUGCUAAUAGUGCAAUGGCAUAAGCGUGCUUAACUGCGAGACUGACAAGUCGAGCAGAUGCGAAAGCAGGACAUAGUGAUCCGGUGGUUCUGUAUGGAAGGGCCAUCGCUCAACGGAUAAAAGGUACUCUGGGGAUAACAGGCUGAUACCGCCCAAGAGUUCAUAUCGACGGCGGUGUUUGGCACCUCGAUGUCGGCUCAUCUCAUCCUGGGGCUGUAGCCGGUCCCAAGGGUAUGGCUGUUCGCCAUUUAAAGAGGUACGUGAGCUGGGUUUAAAACGUCGUGAGACAGUUUGGUCCCUAUCUUCCGUGGGCGCUGCAGAUUUGAGGAAGCCUGCUCCUAGUACGAGAGGACCGGAGUGGACGAACCUCUGGUGUAUCGGUUGUCACGCCAGUGGCAUUGCCGAGUAGCUAAGUUCGGAAGAGAUAACCGCUGAAAGCAUCUAAGCGGGAAACUCGUUUCAAGAUUAGAUCUGCCGGGGCCUUGAGCCCCCUAAAGAGUCGUUCAAGACCAGGACGUUGAUAGGUCAGGUGUGGAAGCGCAGUAAUGCGUUAAGCUAACUGAUACUAAUUGCUCGUGCGGCUUGACCA